rnacentral:tRNA from 1 species
ACCUGGCUGGCUCAGUUGGUAGAGUAUGCGACUCUUAAUCUCAGGGUCAUGAGUUCAAGCCCCACAUUGGGUA